GAGAUUCUGAAUUCCCCAGAGAAAG
rnacentral:piRNA from 1 species